UUUGGGCACACCUCGUAACAAAGAUGGCAGCUAAAGUCCUGGACAUGCCGGGACAUGCUGGAAAAGGUCAUUCACUAUGUUACCUCUUGUUAUCUAUAGAGUAUCAACCAGUGAAGAGGAGGGAUCAUUCGGGCCACUGUACGGGUAGGAGACUACCCGGCUGGGGUGGGGACUGGGCCGGUACGAGCCUCAGUGAUCUCCCGGCCUAGAGUAUCUACGUAGAUGAAAAGAAGCAAUCAAUGUGUUCUGUCAUGGAAUUUUGCCACUUGGUGACUGGUAGAUGGGAGCAAAAACCCACGACUGGUAAUCAGUCCUCUGCUGGGUGUUUGUGGCUAUGCAGCUGUUGCCAUUGGAAAUGGAAUUUUGGAGACUGGUGUGGUGGUGAUUACUGACUGUAAUCAUAACAGUUUAUACACAGGAUAAAGUUCAACUGUGACAUGAUACCAAUAAAAGUCAACGGUGAGGACUAUCUUGUAGUAAUUAGAGAAGGAGAUGGAUUAUAUUCUAGCAAUGCACCAAACAACCUGGUGCCCAGUGCAGUAGUGGUUGGAAUAAUGAAAUAAACUCUCAUCAGGUGAUUGGAUGUCACCAACUGUCACUGGAGACAGACCACCUAUUAGCUCCUUCGCUCUAACAUCAAUUAAUAAUUUCAGUGCUAUAUGAUUUGGAGAUGAUAUUGCUAACGGAAAGAGCAACAAUGUAUAAUGUUCUUAAUUUUACUGAUACAUCAGUGAAUUGUUUAAAGUUAUCUAAUCCUAGAGGAUCAGUACAAUGGCCUAAGGAAAGAAGUUGUCAUUUGAGUGUAUUGAUUAACACUAGCUCAGGACCACACCUACUUGUGUGUUCCAUAUCAAAGGAUGGCAUGGGAGGCUCUUAAAAAGAGUAUUAAUGGUCUGAUUAACAGGAGGAUUAUUGGCACGUUCACUUAUCUCAGCUCUGUCUGCCUCGCCCUCUUUUAGUCAUGUUUAUGCUGCACUGAUUGCUAUGGUCAAUGUUAAAUUCCUUGAAAUCAGAGAAACGAUUGCUAAGAGACUGAUUGUUACUUUUUAGAAAGCAUUAAAAGGAAAAAAACAAGAAGAUUUGUUUGUUGUGCAUCAAAUUUAUAGCACAUCUAGUCAACCAAUAGGUGGUCCACGAGUUGUUAGCAUUGGAAUUACUGACUGUAUUACUGGAAGAUCCUAUACGAGUGAUUCGAUCUGUUGAAGUUGCUGUUGGUUUUUUAAAAGAGUGCGGACAGAAACUAACACAACUCUCACAAAGAUAACAGGUGUCUUUGAAAGUCUGAAAGCAAUCCUCCAUGAUGCCAGUGUAGACAUAAGAGUACAGUACAUGAUUGAGGUGAUGUUUGUUAUCAGAAAGAACAAGUUUGCUGGCUAUCCAUUCAUUGUUGAAAGUCUUGAUUUGAUUAACGAAGAUGAUCAAGUCACUCGUAUAAUUUCACUGGAUGAUGAACUAGAUG
rnacentral:lncRNA from 1 species